CCUACGGGAGGCUGCAGUGAGGAAUAUUGGUCAAUGGACGAGAGUCUGAACCAGCCAAGUAGCGUGAAGGAUGACUGCCCUAUGGGUUGUAAACUUCUUUUAUAUGGGAAUAAAAUGUUCCACGUGUGGGAUUUUGUAUGUACUAUAUGAAUAAGGAUCGGCUAACUCCGUGCCAGCAGCCGCGGUAAUACGGAGGAUCCGAGCGUUAUCCGGAUUUUUUGGGUUUAAAGGGAGCGUAGGUGGAUUGUUAAGUCAGUUGUGAAAGUUUGCGGCUCAACCGUAAAAUUGCAGUUGAAACUGGGAGUCUAGAGUACAGUAGAGGUGGGCGGAAUUCGUGGUGUAGCGGUGAAAUGCUUAGAUAUCACGAAGAACUCCGAUUGCGAAGGCAGCUCACUGGACUGCAACUGACACUGAGGCUCGAAAGUGUGGGUAUCAAACAGGAUUAGAUACCCCUGUAGUC
rnacentral:rRNA from 1 species